rnacentral:ncRNA from 2 species
AAACCGAUAUGGAACUGACGGAUAGUGGAAUUAACCACAUGAACCGUAUCGCAUAAAGUAUGAGCCGACCGUCUGGGCAGAGAUA